rnacentral:lncRNA from 1 species
UUCAAGGUGUGGGUGAGAGGAGUGGAUUCCGUCCCACUGUAACAGUGGAACAAGUCCGAGACCUCCUCAUGAAACUGAAUGUAUGGAAGUCCAUGGGCCGGAUGAUAUCCAUCCUAGGGUUCUGAGAGAGAUGGCUGAUGUGGUUGCCGAGCCGCUCUCCAUCAUAUUUGAAAACUCAUGGCUGUCUGGUGAAGUCCCUGGUGACUGGAGAAAGGGAAACAUUACUCCCAUUUUUAAGAAAGGGAGAAAGGAUGACCCAGGGAACUACAGGCCGGUGAGCCUCGCAUCUGUGCCUGGGAAGGUCAUGGAGCAGAUCCUUCUAGAAGACAUGUCAAGGCACAUACGUGACAAAGAGGUGAUCCGAGACAGCCAGCAUGGCUUCACCAAGGGCAGAUCUUGCCUGACCAAUCUGAUGGCCUUCUAUGAUGGAAUGACAGCAUCGGUGAAUGGGAGCAGGGCGACGGAUGUCAUCUACCUGGACUUCUCCAAAGACUUUGACAUGGUCCCUCACCACAUCCUUCUCUCCAAAUUGGAGAGGUAUGGAUUUGAAGGAUGGACUGUUCGGUGGAUUAAGAACUGGUUGGCUGGUCGCAGCCAAAGGGUUGUGAUCAAUGGUUCUAUGUCAGGGUGGAGGCCGGUCACAAGUGGUGUCCUGCAAGGCUCAGUCUUGGGACUGGUGCUCUUCAACAUCUUUAUCAAUGACAUAGAUGAUGGAAUCAAGUGCACCCUCAGCAAGUUUGCAGAUGACACCAAGCUGAGUGGUGCAGUUGAUACACUGGAGGGAAGGGAAGCCAUCCAGAGGGACUUGGACAGGCUGGAGAAGUGGGCCCACGAGAACCUAAUGAGGUUCAACAAGGCCAAAUGCAGAGUGCUGCACUUGGGCCGGGACAAUCCCAGGUAUUUAUACAGACUAGGGGAAGAACUCCUUGAGAGCAGCCCUGAGGAGACGGACUUGAGGGUCCUGGUGGACAAGAACCUGGACAUGAUGCUGGACACUGUGCUGGGGCCUCUUCUAUUCAACAUCUUUAUCAAUGAUCUUGAUGAGGGGAUUGAAUGCACCCUCAGUAAGUUUGCAGAUGACACCAAGUUGGGAGGGAGUGUUGAUCUGCCGGAGGGUAGAAAGGCACUACAGAGGGACCUGGAUAGACUGCAUCGAUGGGCCAAGGUAAACCAUAUGAAUUUCAACAGGGCCAAGUGUCAGGUCCUGCACUUUGGUCACAACAACCCCAGGCAACCCUACAGGCUUGGGGAGGAGUGGCUGGAAAGCUGCCUGACGGAAAGGGACCUUGGUGUGCUGAUGGACAGUUGGCUGAAUAUGAGCCAGCAGUGUGCCCAGGAGGCCAAGAAGGCCACUGGCAUCCUGGCUUGUAACAGGAAUGGUGUGGUGAGCAGGACUAGGGAAGUAAUCCUGCCCCUGUACUCAGCACUGGUGAGGCCUCACCUCGAGUACUGUGUUCAGUUUUGGAUGCCUCAGUACAGAAAGGACUUUGAGGUGCUGGAGCAGGUCCAAAGAAGGGCAAC